rnacentral:rRNA from 1 species
GACGAACGCUGGCGGCGUGCUUAACACAUGCAAGUCGAACGAAGUGGCGGACGGGUGAGUAACGCGUAAUCAACCUGCCCUUCAGAGGGGGAUAACAGUUGGAAACGACUGCUAAUACCGCAUACUGAAGAAGGGGAUUGCGUAUGAUUAGCUAGUGGGAGGGGUAACGGCCACACAAGGCGAAGAUCAGUAGGCGGUCUGAGGGGUUGAACGGACACAUUGGGACUGAGGCACGGCCCAGAAUCCUACGGGAGGCAGCAACUGGGAAUCUUCCGCAAUGGACGAAAGUCUGACGGAGCAACGCCGCGUGAGUGAUGACGGCCUUCGGGUUGUAAAGCUCUGUUAAUCGGGACGCGGUACCGGAAUAGAAAGCCACGGCUAACUACGUGCCAGCAGCCGCGGUAAUUC